rnacentral:rRNA from 1 species
CGGGGAGGGGGCAGCCUGAUCAGCCAUUCCGCGUGAGUGAAGAAGGCCUUCGGGUUGGAAAGCUCUUUCUCAAGGGAAGAAACCAUACCUACGAAUAAUCUGUGUUAAUGACGGUACCUUGAUAGAACGGCCGGUUAACUACCUGCCCCCCGCCGCUGUAAU